rnacentral:rRNA from 1 species
GACGAACGCUGGCGGCACGCCUAACACAUGCAAGUCGAACGGAGUUAAACAAGCUUGCUUAUUUAACUUAGUGGCGGACGGGUGAGUAACACGUGAGCAACCUGCCUUUAAGCGAGGGAUAGCUUCUGGAAACGGAUGAUAAUACCUCAUAACAUAGGGACAAGGCAUCUUGACCCUAUCAAAGAUUUAUCGUUUAAAGAUGGGCUCGCGUCUGAUUAGAUAGUUGGUGAGGUAACGGCUCACCAAGUCGACGAUCAGUAGCCGGACUGAGAGGUUGAACGGCCACAUUGGGACUGAGACACGGCCCAG